CCUACGGGAGGCAGCAGUGGGGAAUAUUGCACAAUGGGGGAAACCCUGAUGCAGCCACGCCGCGUGAGUGAAGAAGUAUUUCGGUAUGUAAAGCUCUAUCAGCAGGGGAGAAAAUGACGGUACCUGAGUAAGAAUCCCCGGCUAACUACGUGCCAGCAGCCGCGGUAAUACGUAGGGUGCCAGCGUUAUCCGGAUUUACUGGGUGUAAAGGGGGCGUAGGUGGCUGCGCAAGUCAGAAGUGAAAGCCCGGGGCUCAACCACGGGACUGCUUUUGAAACUGUGGAGCUAGAGUGCAGGAGAGGCAAGCGGAAUUCCUAGUGUAGCGGUGAAAUGCGUAGAUAUUAGGAAGAACACCAGUGGCGAAGGCGGCUUGCUGGACAGUAACUGACACUGAGGCACGAAAGCGUGGGGAGCAAACAGGAUUAGAUACCCGAGUAGUC
rnacentral:rRNA from 1 species